rnacentral:rRNA from 1 species
UACGUAGGGUGCAAGCGUUGUCCGGAAUUAUUGGGCGUAAAGAGCUCGUAGGCGGUCUGUCGCGUCUGCUGUGAAAACUCGGGGCUUAACCCCGGGCCUGCAGUGGGUACGGGCAGACUAGAGUGCGGUAGGGGAGACUGGAAUUCCUGGUGUAGCGGUGAAAUGCGUAGAUAUCGGGAGGAACACCAGUGGCGAAGGCGACUACCUGGCCUGUUCUUGACGCUGAGGCGCGAAAGCUAGGGGAGCAACGGG